GCCUGGCUGGCUCAGUCAGUAGAGCAUGUGACUCUUGUUCCCAGAGUUGUGAGUUCAAGCCCCACGUUGGGUA
rnacentral:tRNA from 1 species